GAUUUAUGAGUCAAUUAACAGCAUAUUAUUAUCAAUUAAUCCACAUUAGUGUUAAAGUAAAAAUAGGAAAGGGAUUAGGGUUCAGGUUUAAAUGAACAUCAGACUUAGGAGAACUCAGCUUCCCCUCCUUUCACAUGAAUGAACGGUGGCGCCGGGAGAGGCUUCUUCUUCUCCGGCGAGCUCCCCUUCUCUUCGCCGUUAACAAAAACAAACGAAACUCCACUCCUCCGACGUCCUGCGCACUCAUCUUGCUUCUCAAACUCUCCGAUUUCGAAUCUCCGUUUCAAUUCAAGCUAAUAGAACUCAACACGGGCUCGGUAACAACAAGAAUGAACAAGAAUCCGGGGAUGAGGCACAUGGCUUACUAAUCAGAGACGAGUCUGAUGCUUCUUCGAGCGCGACAACGAGAAAUUCAGAGAUAAAACGAUUCAGUGAUGCAGGUAUGUUGAAGAUUGAGGGAAAUGAUGUGAUGCUGCGUUGAUGGUGUUGAUGUGGAAGAUGAAGAUCCGUGAAGAUUGAUGAUGGUGAAGAUUUGGUGAAGGUGAUCUGAAUGAGAAUCGAAUUGAAGUUGUUAAUUCCGAAUUGAGAGAGUCAAGAUUGAUUUGGUGAUGGUGAAUGGAACGAGAGAGAGGUUCUGAGUUUUUUUUUGUGAUUGAAGAUCGACGAAUGAUGUUAUGGUAGAUGAAGAUUGUGGAUGAGGUGAAUUCAGAGAGGGAGGUAAAGUUUGUUAUGCUUUUUUGGUUUCUGUUACGAGGUUGAAUCGAGAGAGAAUUGAAGAGUGUUUUCUGAUGAAGCUUUUUCUGUUGAAUCGUGAUGGAUGAAGAUUCUGGUGGAUGAUUGAGAGUGAUGAAGAGACUGAGUUUAUCUUGAUGAUGCCGGCUUUUAUUUCAGAUGAAGGGAGCUUCGUGAGUGCAGCUUGUUUUUUAUUUGAAAUACUCAGAAUCGGUUUUCUUGUGCAAGCUAUGCGGUUCAGUCUAUUAUGAUGUGCAAGACCGGUUUGGCUUGCUGAGAUAAUUGGAGUUUUUUUUGUGUAAUUUGUUCAGAAUUUCGUUUUUUUUGUAUAAUAUGACUUGGGCCUUUGAAUAGUGUUAUGGACAUUUGUUGAGAACUUUUAUUUGUAAUCUUUGGAUAUUUGAAUUUGGUUUAUGAGCUUUGUAUAUAUCGUUUUGUUAUGAGUUUUGAAUGAAACUUGAAAUGUAUGGUACUCUUGUUAUUUUUGAACCCAAAGACACGCUUCCAAUACGCAAAUCAUUCUUCUUUUUUUCUCAAGAACUUACACCCAAAAAUGUUUAAGAACUUUGGUUCCUUUUUAUUAUCCUUUGAACUCAAAUCGCUUCGACUUUUAAUGAACAAAAACCAAAUUACUUUGCCACUUCAAUAAACUCUGACUCAAUUCAAUUCCCUCAAUCUAAAUGUGAGUCAAGUAACAAAUAUUAGGAAGAAUAGUGCCUCGGUCUUUGAAACAGUCAUGCCAUACAGAAUAUGGGCUUCAUGUAUUUGAAGACAGAUGGAUCCACUUCUCGCACAAACCACGGUUCUUACAUCAUAACUACACCUUAAGGAAUACUUGAAG